AGUGAACGCUGGCGGUAGGCCUAACACAUGCAAGUCGAACGGCAGCACAGUAAGAGCUUGCUCUUACGGGUGGCGAGUGGCGGACGGGUGAGGAAUACAUCGGAAUCUACUUUUUCGUGGGGGAUAACGUAGGGAAGCUUACGCUAAUACCGCAUACGACCUACGGGUGAAAGCAGGGGAUCUUCGGACCUUGCGCGAUUGAAUGAGCCGAUGUCGGAUUAGCUAGUUGGCGGGGUAAAGGCCCACCAAGGCGACGAUCCGUAGCUGGUCUGAGAGGAUGAUCAGCCACACUGGAGCUGAGACACGGUCCAGACUCCUACGGGAGGCAGCAGUGGGGAAUAUUGGACAAUGGGCGCAAGCCUGAUCCAGCUAUACCGCGUGGGUGAAGAAGGCCUUCGGGUUGUAAAGCCCUUUUGUUGGGAAAGAAAAGCAGCAGGUUAAUACCCCGCUGUUCUGACGGUACCCAAAGAAUAAGCACCGGCUAACUUCGUG
rnacentral:rRNA from 1 species